rnacentral:misc_RNA from 1 species
UCAUAUCAGGAUAAUUGGUUCCAACAAAAUGUUUUUAAUCAAAGGUCAAAAUUAUCAAUUUAGAGAGAAAAGACGCAUAGAUAGAUGUAACUCUGCAUUUGAAUCAACCAUUGAAGUUGGUGGUGAUCGUGGAACCAAAUGGUGGUCUACAUGGGAUGCUUAGACACAAUGGUCUCUGCACAUUUACAGCAAAGGAAGUACAUCUAGUAUUUGGGAGAAGGAACAAUGAAUUACCAAGUCACUAAACAAGGAACACCAAUUGGGG